rfam:Gossypium hirsutum cultivar TM-1 chromosome 8, whole genome shotgun sequence
AAUCCAUGGUGUGGGCACUUUUUUAGCAUCAACUUGAAAUGUUCUCAUGCCUCGUAAAAGGACUCACCUCCGUAUUGCUUAAAGUUGGUGAUUUCUCGCCUAAGCU